UGGGGAAUAUUGCACAAUGGGCGCAAGCCUGAUGCAGCCAUGCCGCGUGUGUGAAGAAGGCCUUCGGGUUGUAAAGCACUUUCAGCGGGGAGGAAGGCGGUGAGGUUAAUAACCUCAUCGAUUGACGUUACCCGCAGAAGAAGCACCGGCUAACUCCGUGCCAGCAGCCGCGGUAAUACGGAGGGUGCAAGCGUUAAUCGGAAUUACUGGGCGUAAAGCGCACGCAGGCGGUCUGUCAAGUCGGAUGUGAAAUCCCCGGGCUCAACCUGGGAACUGCAUUCGAAACUGGCGGGCUAGAGUCUUGUAGAGGGGGGUAGAAUUCCAGGUGUAGCGGUGAAAUGCGUAGAGAUCUGGAGGAAUACCGAUGGCGAAGGCGGCCCCCUGGACAAAGACUGACGCUCAGGUGCGAAAGCGUGGGGAGCAAACAGG
rnacentral:rRNA from 1 species